rnacentral:rRNA from 1 species
AAUGAACGUUGGCGGCGUGGAUUAGGCAUGCAAGUCGUACGGACCGUGGUAGCAAUAUUACGGUUAGUGGCGCAAGGGAGAGUAAUACGUAGGUAUUUACCCUGGGGUCUGGGAUAGCGGCGGGAAACUGCCGGUAAUACGUGAUGAUCUCCCCGGAGCAAAGGUGCAAUUCCGCCCUGGGCUGGGCCCACAUGCUAUUAGCUAGUUGGCGGGGUAACGGCCCACCAAGGCGAAGAUGGCUAGCGGGUGUGAGAGCACGACCCGCGUCACUGGGACUGGGACACUGCCCAGACACCUACGGGUGGCUGCAGUCGAGAAUCUUCGGCAAUGGGCGCAAGCCUGACCGAGCGAUGCCGCGUGCGGGAUGAAGGCCCUCGGGUUGUAAACCGCUGUCGAGGGGGAUGAAAUUGCGGUGGGUUCUCCCAUCGUAUUGACAGAUCCCUGGAGGAAGGGUGGGCUAAGUUCGUGCCAGCCGCCGCCGUAA